ensembl:lncRNA
CGGAAAUAUGUUUACGCUUCUCAACAGGAUGCUUCAGUGCUACUGCAACAAUCUCCACCCAGCCGAGGGCAAGAGGCUCAUUUUGAUUGGCAGCAAGGGUACUCCCUAUCUAUUAGUUCAAGACGACCGCCAAGUGGAAAGCUUUGACCUACAAGCAGAUUCCAAGUUUCGCCAUCCUGCCCAGCUGCCUAGAAUAGACGACACUGACUCUUUUGUCGGGCGUGUGUAUGUUUGUGUGGGAGUUAAUAAUGACAUGCAAAUGCUCAUGUGUGG